GACGUAGGGCGCGAGCGUUGUCCGGAUUUAUUGGGCGUAAAGAGCUCGUAGGCGGUCUGUCGCGUCGGCUGUGAAAACUCGGGGCUCAACUCCGAGCUUGCAGUCGAUACGGGCAGGCUAGAGUUCGGCAGGGGAGACUGGAAUUCCUGGUGUAGCGGUGAAAUGCGCAGAUAUCAGGAGGAACACCGGUGGCGAAGGCGGGUCUCUGGGCCGAUACUGACGCUGAGGAGCGAAAGCGUGGGGAGCGAACAGG
rnacentral:rRNA from 1 species